rnacentral:rRNA from 1 species
CCUACGUGGGGCUGCAGUGGGGAAUAUUGGACAAUGGGCGAAAGCCUGAUCCAGCCAUGCCGCGUGUGUGAAGAAGGCCUUCGGGUUGUAAAGCACUUUCAGUGGGGAAGAAAGCCUUGGGGCUAAUACCCUCGAGGAAGGACAUCACCCACAGAAGAAGCACCGGCUAACUCCGUGCCAGCAGCCGCGGUAAUACGGAGGGUGCGAGCGUUAAUCGGAAUUACUGGGCGUAAAGCGCGCGUAGGCGGUCUGAUAAGCCGGUUGUGAAAGCCCCGGGCUCAACCUGGGAACGGCAUCCGGAACUGUCAGGCUAGAGUGCAGGAGAGGAAGGUAGAAUUCCCGGUGUAGCGGUGAAAUGCGUAGAGAUCGGGAGGAAUACCAGUGGAGAAGGCGGCCUUCUGGACUGACACUGACGCUGAGGUGCGAAAGCGUGGGUAGCAAACAGGAUUAGAUACCCCUGUAGUC